rnacentral:rRNA from 1 species
GACGGAGGAUGCAAGUGUUAUCCGGAAUCACUGGGCGUAAAGCGUCUGUAGGUGGUCAAACAAGUCAACUGUCAAAUCUUGAAGCUCAACUUCAAAAUCGCAGUCGAAACUAUUAGACUAGAGUAUAGUAGGGGUAAAGGGAAUUUCCAGUGGAGCGGUGAAAUGCGUAGAGAUUGGAAAGAACACCGAUGGCGAAGGCACUUUACUGGGCUAUUACUAACACUCAGAGACGAAAGCUAGGGUAGCAAAUGGG